rnacentral:rRNA from 1 species
AUCUGGGCGGCGGAAUUCAGGAUGGCUGGCGUGUCUUCGCGGCACGUCGGUCGUUUGAUAUUUCCGUCGCCGAUUACCCGCAGACGUCGCGACCUGUUCGCGGUCGGCCCCUGCUCGGAGGAGCCGCGUUCGAGCUCGUUGUGUGCGCGUUUCGGCGUGCAACACGGCGAAGRCGCGGAUCUCUGGCUGGCCGUCGGACAGUAUGCUUAACGGUGUCCGGUGUCGUCGUCUCGUACGCGCGCGCACCGGUACCGGUCAGCGACGAAUUCUUCGGGCCUCUUUCCGACCCGUCUUGAAACACGGACCAAGGAGUCUAACAUGCGCGCGAGUCGCGGGGUGUCGAGCGUACUUCGGUACGUUCGUUACGUUGCGAAACCCGUAUAUGUCGAAGGCGUAAUGAAAGUGAAUGGGGAAGAUGGUGUUCCGAGUUCACGUUCCGCGAUCGUCGGUAUCGCGGCCGGACACCCGCAUUCCCGGGGCGUCUCAACGGCCCGUCGCUGAUGCGGACAGUCGUCUCUCGGGGCGGCUGUCGGUCGGCGACGAACCGA